AAUGCCAGCCAGUGCCUGCGCGGCUUGCUCCAGCAAGGUAAAAUUUCCCACUGCGAGGCAGGCAGUGAUGCUGCGGCCGCUUCGCACUGUGGCUCCUGCCGACCGCCAGGCGCUGUUACAGUGGAUGCGAACUAACCGUAAGUAUGCAGCAGCAGCCGGAACCCACAGUUCACCUUGGUGCAUUCCUUUAUGAUGAAGACUUAUUGAUUCAUUAUAUGAGAAAGGAAAAAUGAGCAGAAACUACUGUAUGAUGUGCAGCUCACACCAGACAGCAACUUUAGAGUAAUUUAUCCCUACUUACAGAGAGAUUGCCCUACGUGUAACAGCUGCAUACAAAAAAGUUAUAAAAUUAUCAUUGGUUUAACAAGGAUAAGUGAAAAACAUUAAAAUUCUCCAACUGAACAAGGUGUGUCUGUUUCAUUGAUUGGCUGACUGUCAAAUCGGAAUCUGAUCUGCCCCAUUGACAAUGCCUUGGGCUUUUCCUCGGCCAUGGCAAAUGCCAGAGUCUUCUCAGCUGCCGCUUCACAAAAGAGGUACCAGCUUCUCACUGAACGAACACAGUGCAGCACCAGGAGUGACAGAAGAAGGAGGCGGCAGCGGUGGUUGAGGGACAGGGUGCGUGCACGUCCAAGUACAGUUCUUAAAAUGUUGAGGGCAUACAACAUAUGCUCAAUAAAUACCUGAUUUUUAAAAAAGACAAUGACUAUGGAAAACUCUUGAUCAUUAACCCGAAGGGAGAGUCUAGUUUCCAGGAAGCAUUUGUUUGUAUACACUAUUUAACCCAAGGAUACACUCUUUUCUCCGUGGCAGCGUGACUCAUCUUAGUCUCCAAUUUUUGACCUGUGUCCUGCGCCUUGGCUGUUACAGGUGGAGGUGGAAAAGAAAUUGCCAUUGAUGCUGCAAAUAACUUCCUUCACCUUCUAACCUGGAGAUUCAUUGAAGGAAGAAAAAAGGUGACUGUCAGAGUCCCUGCUGGCCAUGCCUCUCAGCCACAGGACCACUGAGCCACUUAAUUCCUCCCCAGGGUCAGAUGUGCCCCAGCACCAGGUUGUUUAUGGAUAC